AUUUUGUUGGCAGAGUGGUUAGCGUGUCGUUCUUAUAUUCUUCGGGCAACCGAUUAAUAUGAUCUUUCUCUCAGAAAUGCGAAAGUCGUGGGUUCGACACCCACCUGGAGUA